rnacentral:rRNA from 1 species
AUUGAACGCUGGCGGCAGGCCUAACACAUGCAAGUCGAGCGUGAAAGUCCUUCGGGAUGAGUAAAGCGGCGGACGGGUGAGUAACGCGUAGGAAGCUACCCGAUAGAGGGGGAUACCAGUUGGAAACGACUGUUAAUACCGCAUAAUGUCUACGGACCAAAGUGUGGGACCUUCGGGCCACAUGCUAUCGGAUGCGCCUACGUGGGAUUAGCUAGUUGGUGAGGUAAUGGCUCACCAAGGCGACGAUCCCUAGCUGGUUUGAGAGGAUGAUCAGCAAAACUGGAACUGAGAAACGGUCCAGACUCCUACGGGAGGCAGCAGUGGGGAAUAUUGGACAAUGGGCGCAAGCCUGAUCCAGCCAUGCCGCGUGUGUGAAGAAGGCCUUCGGGUUGUAAAGCACUUUCAGUAGGGAGGAAGCGUUGAGUGUUAAUAGUACUCAGCGUUGACGUUACCUACAGAAGAAGCACCGGCUAACUCUGUGCCAGCAGCCGCCGUAA